UCCUUUUCCUUUUUCUUUUUUUUUUCUUUUUUUAUUUCCUUUUGUCCUCCUUCUCUCCUUGAAGCAAGUGAGAAAGUCUUAUUGAUAUAUCCCUCAAUGCUAGCUGCACCAGUCAAGUAAAGUAGAUAAGAUCCCCUUUUUUAUUACCGUUGGAACCUGUCAAUUCAAGAGAGAGAGAUUUUUUGAUUUUAUUUAUUUUCAUAUUUUCUUUAAUAAUAGUAUUAAUUAAAUCCCAAUUUUG
rnacentral:lncRNA from 1 species